rnacentral:rRNA from 1 species
AUGAUCGCUAAUGGUAAGCAUCGAAAGAAGAAGAUCUUUCAGCUUGAGCAAGAUGAGGGUACAAUUGUAGGACAGGAAAACCUAAAAUUGUACAUCACCGAGUACUAUAAGCAGCUGUUUGGUCCUCCAGAAAAGAACUGUGUGUCUCUGGAUGAGUCCAGGGUUGAGGAUGUUCCUCAGCUCACAGCGGCGGAGAAUGAUAUUCUUACGGCUCCUUUUUCCGAGAAAGAGGUUCUGGAGGCCAUUUCGCAAAUGAAAAAUAACAAGGCGCCGGGCCCCGAUGGAUUUCCAGCGGAGUUCUAUAAGAAAUGUUGGCAUAUCAUUAAAGGGGAUUUGUUGCCUUUGUUCAAUGAUCUGUUUGCUGGACAGCUUCAUCUUUUUCAGCUCAAUUUUGGAACGAUCACCCUUCUUCCUAAGAAAACAGAGGCUGUGAGAAUUGAGCAAUUCAGGCCAAUCUGUCUUCUUAAUGUUAGUUUCAAAAUUUUCACCAAGGUCGGGACCAAUAGGCUCACACAGAUCGCACAUGCUGUUGUGCAGCCUACCCAAACUGCUUUCAUGCCGGACAGGAAUAUCCUUGAGGGGGUAGUGGUCCUUCAUGAAACGCUCCAUGAAAUCCACACGAAAAAGCUGGAUGGGGUUGUUUUCAAAGUGGAUUUCGAAAAAGCGUAUGACAAAGUCAAAUGGCCAUUCCUUCAACAGGCCUUACGUAUGAAGGGUUUUGAUGAGGCUUGGCGACGCCAGGUAGAAUCCUUCACACAAAAAGGAAGUGUU